rnacentral:lncRNA from 1 species
UUAUAAUAAAUCUAGGACAUAAUUUUAUACUUAAUACAUUAAUUUGAUCAAUAAAAAGAUAAAUUUAUUUUUUAUUUAAGUGUGAUGUAUCCUUGAAUCAUCUAUGAAAUAAGUUUUCGAUAUAUAUUAUCAAAAUAUUGAGAAUUAGAGACAUAUAUUUAAUUCUUAAAUACUCUCAAUCAUAGGAUCAUCAUGAGGAUGGUGAUCGAUCUGGAUAGACUGGCACAC